UAUUCCUUAAGUAGGCAAAGUUGAUUCUUUCACAGUUUUGCCUGCUCAAGGGGUAGA
rnacentral:pre_miRNA from 1 species